GGCAACCCUGACGGAGCAACGCCGCGUGUGGGAGGACGGCCUUCGGGUUGUAAACCACUUUUCUCAGGGAAGAAGCCCUGACGGUACCUGAGGAAUCAGCCUCGGCUAACUCCGUGCCAGCAGCCGCGGUAAUACGGAGGAGGCAAGCGUUAUCCGGAAUUAUUGGGCGUAAAGCGUCCGCAGGGGGCACAUCAAGUCUGCUGUUAAAGGCUGGAGCUUAACUCCGGUAGAGCAGUGGAAACUGGUGUGCUAGAGGGCGACAGGGGUAGAGGGAAUUCCCAGUGUAGCGGUGAAAUGCGUAGAGAUUGGGAAGAACACCGGUGGCGAAAGCGCUCUACUGGGUCGCACCUGACCCUCAGGGACGAAAGCUA
rnacentral:rRNA from 1 species